UACAGAGGUCCCGAGCGUUGUUCGGAUUCACUGGGCGUAAAGCGUGCGCAGGCGGCUAUGGCAAGACAGAUGUGAAAUCCCCGGGCUUAACCUGGGAACUGCAUUUGUGACUGCAUGGCUAGAGUACGGUAGAGGGGGAUGGAAUUCCGCGUGUAGCAGUGAAAUGCGUAGAUAUGCGGAGGAACACCGAUGGCGAAGGCAAUCCCCUGGACCUGUACUGACGCUCAUGCACG
rnacentral:rRNA from 1 species